GGGCGUGUGGCGCAACGGAUAACGCGUCGGUCUUCGGAACCGAAGAUUGCAGGUUCGAAUCCUGUCACGCUCG
rfam:Trichinella sp. T9 scaffold157s, whole genome shotgun sequence.